rnacentral:piRNA from 1 species
UAUAUUUCCACAAACUGCUGCAGUCA